GCGAAAAAAAGUUGGUACACUCGGUUGUUCUUUUAAUUUUAGCUUGUUUUAAUGUGCUUACAAAAAAAAUCAGACCAACAUGAACUUACUAGCAUAUUCUGGAAUAAUUUUAUGUAUUUUGCAAACUAAUAAAGGAUUCGAAAUAUCGAGGGAAAAGCGGGCAAAAGGAUUUGAAAGUGAUAAGUACUUAGAGAAGUUCGGUUACCUGGACGAGGCGAAAGGUGGUCGCCAGCAUGACGAAACAUCCAGAAAAUAUGCCAUCAGCGAGUUCCAAGAGUUCGCAGGGAUCCGGGUGACCGGGCAGAUGAACGAGGAGACACUGGCCCGGAUGUUGGCGCCCCGCUGCGGGCUUCCUGACGUCAUCCGCCCUGGGGACAGGAUCCCACCGAACGCCCGUGAAACCAACAGGAACAAGCCAUCUAACUUCUACGCCCCAGGAUUCAAGUGGGAUAAGAAUGAAGUAACCUAUAAAUUUGUCGGCUUUUCAAGACAGCUACCGCAGUCUAGUCAACGACGCGCAAUACGAAACGCAUUCUCAAAAUGGUCAGCGGUGACGCCCUUGCAGUUCCGGGAAUCUUCCGGGGCGGCGGACAUCCUUAUUAACUGGGUGUUCGGUGACCACGGGGACGGCAGUCCCUUCGACAGAAGAGGUGGCACUUUGGCGCACGCGUUCUUCCCGGGAACGUCGGCGAUCAGUGGCGACACGCACUUCGACGAAGCGGAGGAAUGGACGGAGGGCAAAAACGCCGGUACCAACCUCGAAAUCGUUGCUGCGCACGAAUUUGGACACGCCAUUGGGCUCAGCCAUUCCAACGUGCGGGGUGCACUCAUGCAGCCAUUCUAUGGCGGCUAUGACCCAAACUACCAGCUCCAAAGUGACGACAUUCGCGGCGUUCAGACACUCUAUGGAUCGGCACCUCGGCCCCAGCCCCGCCCCCAGCCGACCCGCGCGCCACCCGCUACUACACCACGUGAUCGCGACUCCGGCAACAACCCGGACAAGGAGAUUUGUGAACUAAAGUUUGAUGACAUAGCUAAUGGUCCGGACAACCGCCUGUAUGCGUUCAGGUUCGGGCGACUGUACAAGUUCAACUAUGACGGCGUCGGCAUUGAGAAGGUUUACAAAAACUCCCGGAGAGUGUUCCCGAAAGCACCGAAAAACAUUGCGGCAGCGGCCUUCGACAGAAGAAAUAACAAGUUCUAUAUAUUCAAAGGUUACAAGUUGUGGCGAUACAGCCAGUUCACGCUGGACGCCGGGUAUCCAAAGCGCCUCCAAGGCUGGUAUCGGAACGUCGACGCCGCCAUCGUCGAGGACAGCGGAGAAAUCUUGCUCCUUAAGGGUAAAGAGGUGAGCGUGUGGCGUGAGGAUUUCGCGUCUCCCCCGCGAGGCUACCCGGUGGCCAUCGGCGUGAAAUGGCCGGGCUUGCGCGACGACCUGGAGGCAGCAGUUAGAUAUAGGCGCAUCUCAUACUUUUUCAAGGGUGCAAAUUACUUCCGGUAUAACGACUACAACAGAAAAGUGGAUUACAGGAAGUCAAAGGCUGGACCCUGGCUUGGUUGCGGCAGACCUGAGCCGAAAUAGCGAGAAGGGAAUCAGAUUGUCAGCGUGCCAUUGUUCGAUGUGGGGUUGCUUUAUGUUAUAUGUAUAUACAUGAUGUAUAUGUGUCGCAAUGAUAGAAGUUGAUGUGAGAACAUCUUGCACAUGUAAGGAAAGCAUUAAACAACAUUCAGCAGCCAUGAGCCAAAGUCACAAAUACCCCAAGUUCAGUUUUAAUUGAAUUAAGACUCAACACUUUUAAAAUGGUAUUGUAACGUUUGUAUAAAACCGCAAUGUAUUUUGUUUCUCAUGAGUGUAUGCUUUACCUGUUACACCACCACUUAAGAAUUCUGGAAUCGGCGAUUAAAAACGUAUUAAACAUUAUAUGUAUCAUGAACGCAUUCCUUUUUGGAAAACAGUAUAAAGUUGUUUGAUAGUUUUCGACUUUGAUUUAGAAAAUGCUUAAAAUGUGAUCACAAUUAUUCUGGUCAUGUUGAUCAUUUAAAAUAUAGCACAGAGAUAUUAUACUUAGCAGUACUUAACAUACCAUUAAAAAUCCACUAAAUUAUGAUUUAAAAGUAUAAUUAAAUAUACAUGUAUUAAAUACCCUACUAGGUCAACAAAAGUUUAAAAAUUCUAUCAGUACAAAAUAACAUUUGGGAAGAAGGUCAAGAUCGAAGGCUUUCAUGUAUUGAACACAUUGAGAAUGAUUUGUAUGCCUUAAAGAAGUGGAUAUUUGUAAAGUAUUGGGAAUAUCAUUAUCUUUUUUGUGACGGAAAUAACUUGCGAACUUCAAUGGAUAGUUUCUAAAUUUUCAAAUAUAAACGAUGUCAGCAAUACUUGGGUCCAUCCCGGGCAUCACUCAGCUGCGGGCCUCUCGAAACGAUGACAGGAUUGACCGCCUUAACCACGUGUACACUACCGUCCUCCUGGUUGUGUUUGCCGUCGUCGUCAGCACCACCCAGUUUGCGGGUCACCCAAUCCACUGCUGGCAUCCUCCAGAGUUCGAAGAGAUGGAAUGGUACGAAAGCUACAUCGACAACUAUUGCUGGAUAUCCAAUACAUAUCAUGUUCCAUUCUCUGAAGAGCUCUUCCCCGUAAACAUUAGCGAUCGUGAGGACCGUGAAAUAACAUAUUAUCAGUGGGUACCGAUCGUGUUACUGCUCCAAGCUUUCUUGUUUAAGCUGCCAAACGUAGUCUGGAAUCUGCUACACACUUACGGUGGUCUAAAAUUAAACAAUUUAGUAAAAAUGGCCGAAACAACCCAACUUCUGAACCCAGUUGAGCGCCAAACAGUAAUUGAAAACAUAGCUUCACAUAUUGACAAAUGGCUGGACGCAGAAAGAGCUUAUAAAUGGAACAAAAUGACAGUUGCAAAGCAAAGGUUUGCCAACAUUUGCUGCUUGUUUUGUAGCAAACGUAGUGGAACGUUCCUUUGUGGUCUGUUUACAACUGUCAAACUCUUAUAUGUGUGCAAUGUGAUUGGCCAGUUCUUCAUGUUGAACUUAUUCAUGAGCAUGGACUAUAUGUUCUAUGGUUUUGACAUUUUGAAAGGAUUUCAGACUAACCAGCCGUGGAAACAGAGCCCAAGGUUCCCCCUGGUCACGUUUUGUGAUUUUCAUAUCCGACAACAACAGAACAUUCAACGCUGGACAUUGCAGUGCGUUCUUCCUAUUAACCUUUUCAAUGAGAAGGUGUUCAUCUUUCUGUGGUUCUGGCUGUUCCUGAUGGUCAUAUUGUCCAUCUACAACCUCGUCAGCUGGUGUUACAUCGUCAUGCUGAAGAGGCACCGCUACCAGUACGUGAAGAAGUACCUGAAGGUAACAAACCGAAUACAGGGCGACUUUGACGACAAGUUGUGUCGUCGGUUCGCCAAUCACUAUUUCCGGGACGACGGAGUGUUCGUACUGCGCAUCAUCUCAAACAACGCGACGGACCUGGUGACCACGGAACUCGUGAAUUACCUGUGGCAAAUGUUUCAAGACAAGCAAAGCUGUGGACGACCGAGCAGGGCCGGAGAAAAACUGCGGCCCCUGCCCAGGGAUGCAAAUACCAGCGCUACCGAACGUAACUCUAUCCAUGCAAGUUGAGAGCAUGAGUUGAUUAUGAUACUUGUUGUGUUUUUUGUUGUUGUUGUUUUUUUCAAAAUAUGUUUAAUGUUAAAUUGAAUAUGAAAUCUUUCUCUAUGAUUUCACAAAGAAGUUCAAGACUUUUUGAUCGUUUUCCCUUUAAGUCUAUUAUUAUAUUGUUCAAUGAUGAAAUUAGUCAUCGACUUCGAGUAUGAUUAUUGUAUUUCAAACUAACUCUAUAUAACUAUUAACUAUAUAAAAGUCCUUUCACAACAAAGCAGAGUUUAAACCUAAUUUGUAACUCAAAUUAUCAUUUACAAAUUGUACUUUUGAAUAGCCUGAUAUUGAUUCCUUCAAAACGACAAAAUAAUCGUUGCCUUUUCAUUAUCAGUACUUGUCAUUUUUUGUGAUUGUAUUUUGGUAGGCUACCUAUACAUCCGUGACAUAGACUAUAUUACGUGCGUCUCAACAUAUUUGCAAUUCAAACAGCAAAAUCAUGAAUAUUCGAAUGGUAUUCUUCGAACAUCAGGAUCGGUUUGAAACUGUCCAUUGACAUGAAUGGUAAGACGAAGGUCCAACAAAGUAAACACAGCCAUUACCGGUUGAAGUAGCAUUCUGUAAAUCUAAACAUAUCUCGAAAAAAACAACAUCCUAACUACACUUUGAACAAAGGACAUGAACUUCAAAAAACAGUUAUGU